rnacentral:rRNA from 1 species
UACGUAGGGGGCUAGCGUUGUCCGGAUUUAUUGGGCGUAAAGAGCGUGUAGGCGGCCAGAUAGGUCUGCUGUGAAAACUCGAGGCUCAACCUCGAGAUGUCGGCGGAAACCAUUUGGCUAGAGUCCGGAAGAGGAAAGUGGAAUUCCCGGUGUAGCGGUGAAAUGCGCAGAUAUCGGGAGGAACACCAAUGGCGAAGGCAGCUCGCUGGGACGGUACUGACGCUGAGGCGCGAAAGCGUGGGGAGCAAACAGGG